GACGAACGCUGGCGGCGUGCUUAACACAUGCAAGUCGAACGGAAAGGCCCUGCUUUUGUGGGGUGCUCGAGUGGCGAACGGGUGAGUAACACGUGAGUAACCUGCCCUUGACUUUGGGAUAACUUCAGGAAACUGGGGCUAAUACCGGAUAGGAGCUCCUGCUGCAUGGUGGGGGUUGGAAAGUUUCGGCGGUUGGGGAUGGACUCGCGGCUUAUCAGCUUGUUGGUGGGGUAGUGGCUUACCAAGGCUUUGACGGGUAGCCGGCCUGAGAGGGUGACCGGCGACAUUGGGACUGAGAGACGGCCCAGACGCCUACGGGCGGCAGCAGGGGGGAAUAUUGCACAAUGGGCGGGAGCCUGAUGCAGCAACCCCGCGUGCGGGAUGACGGCCUUCGGGGUGUAAACCGCUUUCGCCUGUGACGAAGCGGGAGUGACGGUAAUGGGUAAAGAAGCACCGGCUAACUACGUG
rnacentral:rRNA from 1 species